rnacentral:rRNA from 1 species
AUUGAACGCUGGCGGCAGGCCUAACACAUGCAAGUCGAGCGGAGUGGCGGACGGGUGAGUAAUGCCUAGGAAUAUGCCUGGUAGUGGGGGAUAACGUCCGGAAACGGGCGCUAAUACCGCAUAAUAUCAGAUGAGCCUAGGUAGGAUUAGCGAGUUGUGGGGGUAAAGGCCUACCAAGGCGACGAUCCGUAACUGGUCUGAGAGGAUGAUCAGUCACACUGGCAAGGAGAGACGGUCCAGACUCCUACGGGAGGCAGCAGUGGGGAAUAUUGGACAAUGUGCGAAAGCGUGAACCAGCCAUUCCGCGUGUGUGAAGAAGGUCUUCUGAUUGUAAAGCACUUUAAGUUGGGAGGCGUUACCAACAGAAUAAGCACCGGCUAACUUCGUGCCAGCAGCCGCGGUAAUAC